AUUGAACGCUGGCGGCAGGCUUAACACAUGCAAGUCGAGCGGAGAUGAGGUGCUUGCACCUUAUCUUAGCGGCGGACGGGUGAGUAAUGCUUAGGAAUCUGCCUAUUAGUGGGGGACAACAUUCCGAAAGGAAUGCUAAUACCGCAUACGUCCUACGGGAGAAAGCAGGGGAUCUUCACCUUGCGCUAAUAGAUGAGCCUAAGUCGGAUUAGCUAGUUGGUGGGGUAAAGGCCUACCAAGGCGACGAUCUGUAGCGGGUCUGAGAGGAUGAUCCGCCACACUGGGACUGAGACACGGCCCAGACUCCUACGGGAGGCAGCAGUGGGGAAUAUUGGACAAUGGGCGGAAGCCUGAUCCAGCCAUGCCGCGUGUGUGAAGAAGGCCUUUUGGUUGUAAAGCACUUUAAGCGAGGAGGAGGCUACCUGGAUUAAUACUCUAGGAUAGUGGACGUUACUCGCAGAAUAAGCACCGGCUAACUCUGUGCCAGUCGCCGCCGUAAGAC
rnacentral:rRNA from 1 species